UGGUAAACAAUGAUUUCUUGUUAUUUUCCCAGGAAAACCACAUGAUAUCUCAUCUGGAUGGACUGAUCCUUCUGAAGCAGGAAGUGGCCUCCUGGCUCCAUCCAUGCCUAGAUUGGAACAAAUGACCAGGGAAGGAAGGAAGGAAAGAGGACCUCCACCCCGCUACCAUCCCUGACAUCAUUCUCUCUGGGAAUCUCCUGACUCAGGACCCUGCGAGCCUCCCCACAGCUCCACCAUCCCUAGAGCUGCCCUCAUUCAGCUAGAGAACAAAGCCAGAGGUGAGUCAGGGCCCAGGAACCCAGCCAAGCUGGGAGGCCUCAUAGG
rnacentral:lncRNA from 1 species